rnacentral:misc_RNA from 1 species
UGUGAGCACAACUGACUGGGA